UUUUUUAAAAAUUUUAUUAGAAUAUUAUUUGUUGAUCUAAAUUAAUUUUAAAAGUAUUGGCGGUAAUAAGUUAAAUUCUGAGGAACUUGUUUAUUUAAAUUGAUAUUUCACAUUAAAUUUCACUUAUAAUGAUUUUUUAUGUAUUGCUGUUUAAUUAUUUAUUUAUUAAAAUUAAAUAAUAGAAUUUACAGAAAUUUUGUAGAGAAAUUCAAGUCAAAAUGUAGAAUUUUAUAAGGAUAAAUGAGUUACAAUUAUAUUGAGGUAUGAAACUGUAAAGUUAAUUGAAAAUAUUAAUGAAUAAGGUUGGAUUAGGGUGUAAAAAAAAAAUAAUUAAUUUUUUUGAUAAAAUUUACUUUUAUGU
rnacentral:rRNA from 1 species